AUUGAACGCUGGCGGCAGGCUUAACACAUGCAAGUCGAGCGGAGAGAGGUAGCUUGCUACUGAUCUUAGCGGCGGACGGGUGAGUAAUGCUUAGGAAUCUGCCUAUUAGUGGGGGACAACAUUUCGAAAGGAAUGCUAAUACCGCAUACGUCCUACGGGAGAAAGCAGGGGAUCUUCGGACCUUGCGCUAAUAGAUGAGCCUAAGUCGGAUUAGCUAGUUGGUGGGGUAAAGGCCUACCAAGGCGACGAUCUGUAGCGGGUCUGAGAGGAUGGUCCGCCAGACUGGGACUGAGACACGGGCCAGACUCCUACGGGAGGCAGCAGUGGGGAAUAUUGGACAAUGGGCGCAAGCCUGAUCCAGCCAUGCCGCGUGUGUGAAGAAGGCCUUAUGGUUGUAAAGCACUUUAAGCGAGGAGGAGGCUACUUUAGUUAAUACCUAGAGAUAGUGGACGUUACUCGCAGAAUAAGCACCGGCUAACUCUGUGCCAGCAGCCGCCGUAAUAC
rnacentral:rRNA from 1 species